AUACGGAGGGGGUUAGCGUUGUUCGGAAUUACUGGGCGUAAAGCGCACGUAGGCGGACUGGAAAGUUGGGGGUGAAAUCCCGGGGCUCAACCCUGGAACUGCCUCCAAAACUUCCAAUCUAGAGAUCGAGAGAGGUGAGUGGAAUUCCAAGUGUAGAGGUGAAAUUCGUAGAUAUUUGGAGGAACACCAGUGGCGAAGGCGGCUCACUGGCUCGAUACUGACGCUGAGGUGCGAAAGCGUGGGGAGCAAACAGGAUUAGAAACCCCAGUAGUCC
rnacentral:rRNA from 1 species